rnacentral:lncRNA from 1 species
UGUCAGAAAAGGGGAGUCCCCAUGGCUGCAAGGCUAUAGGAUGGCUAUGUGCCUUUGGAGUGGGAAUGCUGCUGGACUUCUGUGGAAGUGUAUGGUUGGUGCAUGUAUCUCCAGAUUUGGGCACCCCUUUUUUGAAAGGAAUGGAACCUGUUUUUCUCCAUCCAAGUAAUAGUGAAGAAAGACAUCAGAGGAGAUGGACCGGUCAACAGGCUUGCCAAGAGAAGUUGCCUAUCUGUUAAGAAAGCAAAGUAAUAGUGACUGACCAAGUUAGAGGAAAGAAGGAAAUCAAAUAAUACACAAACUGAUCUGACAGUACAUCUCCUUUGCUGCUCUGAACAGAAAAAAAACAAUGAACAGAAGUGUUGCUAAAGUGAAUGUGCUCAGUGCUUUCCACGUAUAGAAGAAUGUACUGGCCUUGUUUUCAAGGCAGAAAAACAAAGGGAGGAAGUACAACAUGAGCAAAGCCUGAAGUGGCCCCUCUCCAUGGUUUUCAGUCACUUCCGGGCAAAAGCCCAGGAAAGAGAUGCCAAGAAACAGCACGAGCAGAAAGCAUCACUAGUGGUGGCUGAAGCACUGAGUUGCUCUGUGGAAGGAGCCAGCCCCAGUCGCACUGAUGCCAGGAUGAGUUUUUGCCUUUUCUUUUAUAUACUUUUUAUACAACUUUUAUGUAUCCUCAGUACUGUUAGCAUGCAUACUUGUAAUUCCUUAAGUCUGAUAAUUUAGCAUAGUUCCUGUAUUCUGUUAGGCCAGGAGACCAAACAUCCUAAAGGCCUCCUAGCAGGAGGCCAGAAAGCCCUAAGCUAUCUUGGAAAACCAAGGUGCCCUCUAGAACAUUCCUGUAAAGUGGAGAUUUGGCCCCAUCCUCAAAUGGGAGAAUAUCACACCAUCCAUCCAUGUCUGCCAUUGGGGCCCCCUUGUUAGAUCCACUAAUUUGUAAGGUCUAUAAAAUGUAUACAGAAUUAUUGGGGGUGUGCAUUGUGGCACAUCCCACCUUGGCCAAACAGUGCACCACAAGGAUCCUUAUUAAAACAGCAAGGUAAAAAUCUCUUAUCCCUUAACUGUGCCUGGCUCUCAAGUUUUGAAAACCAGGGAGAGGCAUCAACAUGAGCUCAGGUAUGGAGCCCUGAUGUUUGCUGGCACAGCAGUGG